CAGCCGCCGCGGGAAUACAGAGGGUGCGAGCGUUAAUUGGAUUUACUGGGCGUAAAGCGUGCGUAGGCGGCUUCUUAAGUCGGAUGUGAAAUCCCUGAGCUUAACUUAGGAAUUGCAUUCGAUACUGGGAAGCUAGAGUAUGGGAGAGGAUGGUAGAAUUCCAGGUGUAGCGGUGAAAUGCGUAGAGAUCUGGAGGAAUACCGAUGGCGAAGGCAGCCAUCUGGCCUAAUACUGACGCUGAGGUACGAAAGCAUGGGGAGCAAACAGGAUUAGAUACCCGCGUAGUCCCUGUCUCUUAUAC
rnacentral:rRNA from 1 species